rnacentral:rRNA from 1 species
AGUGAACGCUGGCGGUAGGCCUAACACAUGCAAGUCGAACGGCAGCACAGUAAGAGCUUGCUCUUACGGGUGGCGAGUGGCGGACGGGUGAGGAAUACAUCGGAAUCUACUUUUUCGCGGGGGAUAACGUAGGGAGACUUACGCUAAUACCGCAUACGACCUACGGGUGAAAGCAGGGGAUCUUCGGACCUUGCGCGAUUGAAUGAGCCGAUGUCGGAUUAGCUAGUUGGCGGGGUAAAGGCCCACCAAGGCGACGAUCCGUAGCUGGUCUGAGAGGAUGAUCAGCCACACUGGAACUGAGACACGGUCCAGACUCCUACGGGAGGCAGCAGUGGGGAAUAUUGGACAAUGGGCGCAAGCCUGAUCCAGCCAUACCGCGUGGGUGAAGAAGGCCUUCGGGUUGUAAAGCCCUUUUGUUGGGAAAGAAAAGCAGCAGGUUAAUACCCCGCUGUUCUGACGGUACCCAAAGAAUAAGCACCGGCUAACUUCGUG